ACAUGCAGUCGAGCGAACAGAUAAGGAGCUUGCUCCUUUGACGUUAGCGGCGGACGGGUGAGUAACACGUGGAUAACCUACCUAUAAGACUGGGAUAACUUCGGGAAACCGGAGCUAAUACCGGAUAAGAUUUUGAACCGCAUGGUUCAAUAGUGAAAGACGGCCUUGCUGUCACUUAUAGAUGGAUCCGCGCCGUAUUAGCUAGUUGGUAAGGUAACGGCUUACCAAGGCAACGAUACGUAGCCGACCUGAGAGGGUGAUCGGCCACACUGGAACUGAGACACGGUCCAGACUCCUACGGGAGGCAGCAGUAGGGAAUCUUCCGCAAUGGGCGAAAGCCUGACGGAGCAACGCCGCGUGAGUGAUGAAGGUCUUCGGAUCGUAAAACUCUGUUAUCAGGGAAGAACAAACGUGUAAGUAACUGUGCACGUCUUGACGGUACCUGAUCAGAAAGCCACGGCUAACUACGUGCCAGCAGCCGCGGUAAUACGUAGGUGGCAAGCGUUAUCCGGAAUUAUUGGGCGUAAAGCGCGCGUAGGCGGUUUUUUAAGUCUGAUGUGAAAGCCCACGGCUCAACCGUGGAGGGUCAUUGGAAACUGGAAAACUUGAGUGCAAAAGA
rnacentral:rRNA from 1 species